rnacentral:lncRNA from 10 species
GAAAAAUAAAGGGGAAAUUAUUUUUUCCUCCCCUACACAACCCAAUUCAUGAAUGAGCGUCUCAAAUUAAGGGAAGAAAGCAGUAUGUAAUAAUGCAGCCAUUCUUUCUGCAGAUGAUAAAACAUCAGUUGAAGAAGUUCAUUUGGGUAAAGAGAUGGAUAAUAUUUGGAUAUACAUGAACUCUUGGACCAUCAUCAAUAGCUUUGUUCUAUAUUAAGGCAUAAGGACAGAUGCUGAUACCAUCUCCUUUACAAGACUUGAAAUUUCUACCUUUGAACCAUGCAGGUCAUUUUGUUACUGUCAGUGGUCAGCAUAUCUACUGCGUUGUUGUGAACCAGGAUGACGUAUUGUUAAGGCAAUUAUCCGUGUUGAAGAGAAACACGUCGCUGCUGCUUGCUUGAUGUGGCUGCAACAACAAAGCUGUUUUGACUACUCUAGGUAAAAAAUGGGGUUUGAACACUACAAAAUCAGGCACCUACAGAAUCACAGUAGGAUCUGAGUAGGUGAAUAUUGUCAUAAAAUGCUGGCCAAAUAUCUCAUUAUUUACACCUAAUAUUCAAGAAAGACAGUCAUGAGAAACUUUAUGACAUACUCAGACAGAACUGAAUCUAUUGGCAGAAUAUAUUCCCAACUAAUCAUCUCUCAUGGGAUACAACAUUGUGUUUUCAAAAUACCUUAACUGCAUUCACCUCUCGUCAUUCAGUAACAACAUUUGGGGUGGCUGAACCAACACCAGCUCCAAGGCCUUAGAUGUCCUGGAAUAUUGUGUGUUACGUGAAUGAUAGAUUAUUGUUCUGGAUAUUUAGUAACAUUAUGAAAAGGUGUUAUUAACCCAGCUAAGGACACCAGAAUCACUUUCAUGGGAAACUAGCAGAACAUUGCAAUUGGCCAAGUACCAAACUUAACUGUUUAUAAUUCUAAGAUAUGCAGAGAAAGAAUACAAGAAAAAUAAUUAGCAACCCAGCCAGUGAUUCCAAGUCUUUACUAAAGAUUAGUAAAAGAACUUUGGUGGAUGUACAAUUUGACUUAAGUACUGAAAGGUGAGUAGAAAUU